rnacentral:rRNA from 1 species
AGAGUUUGAUCAUGGCUCAGGACGAACGCUGGCGGCGUGCUUAACACAUGCAAGUCAAGGGGGCCCAGCAAUGGGCAACCGGCGAACGGGUGCGUAACACGUGAGCAACCUACCGAACUGUGGGGGAUAGCCGGCCUAACGGCCGAGUAAUACCGCAUACGCUCUCAGUGAGGCAUUUCAUUGAGAGGAAACCUACGGGACAGAUCGAGGGGCUCGCGGCCUAUCAGCUAGUUGGCGAGGUAACGGCUCACCAAGGCAACGACGGGUAGCUGGUCUGAGAGGAUGGCCAGCCACAUUGGGACUGAGAUACGGCCCAGACUCCUACGGGAGGCAGCAGUGGGGAAUCUUGCGCAAUGGCCUAACGGCUGACGCAGCGACGCCGCGUGUGGGAUGAAGCUCUUCGGAGUGUAAACCACUGUUGCCCGGGACGAAUAGCUCGAUUAAUCGAGCCUGACAGUACCGGGUGAGGAAGCACCGGCUAACUCCGUGCCAGCAGCCGCGGUAAUACGGGGGGUGCGAGCGUUGUCCGGAAUCACUGGGCGUAAAGGGCGCGUAGGUGGUUUGAUAAGGGUGUGGUGAAAGUCCGGGGCUCAACCCCGGAUCUGCCGUGCCGACUGUCAAACUCGAGGACUGUAGAGGCAGACGGAAUUCCGGGUGUAGCGGUGGAAUGCGUAGAGAUCCGGAGGAAGACCGGUGGCGAAGGCGGUCUGCUGGGCAGUUUCUGACACUGAGGCGCGACAGCGUGGGGAGCAAACAGGAUUAGAUACCCUAGUAGUCC